CCACUUAGAGUUUGAUCAUGGCUCAGAUUGAACGCUGGCGGCAGGCCUAACACAUGCAAGUCGAGCGGAAACGAUCCCAGCUUGCUGGGAGGCGUCGAGCGGCGGACGGGUGAGUAAUGCAUAGGAAUCUGCCCGGUAGUGGGGGAUAACUUGAGGAAACUCAAGCUAAUACCGCAUACGCCCUACGGGGGAAAGCAGGGGCUCUUCGGACCUUGCGCUAUCGGAUGAGCUUAUGUCGGAUUAGCUAGUUGGUGAGGUAACGGCUUACCAAGGCGACGAUCCGUAGCUGGUCUGAGAGGAUGAUCAGCCACAUCGGGACUGAGACACGGCCCGAACUCCUACGGGAGGCAGCAGUGGGGAAUAUUGGACAAUGGGCGAAAGCCUGAUCCAGCCAUGCCGCGUGUGUGAAGAAGGCCCUCGGGUUGUAAAGCACUUUCAGUGAGGAAGAAGGCUUGUCGGUUAAUACCCGGCAGGAAGGACAUCACUCACAGAAGAAGCCCCGSMUAACUCCGUGCCAGCAGCCGCGGUAAUACGGAGGGGGCAAGCGUUAAUCGGAAUUACUGGGCGUAAAGCGUGCGUAGGCGGCUUGGUAAGCCGGUUGUGAAAGCCCCGGGCUCAACCUGGGAAUGGCAUCCGGAACUGUCAGGCUAGAGUGCAGGAGAGGAAGGUAGAAUUCCCGGUGUAGCGGUGAAAUGCGUAGAGAUCGGGAGGAAUACCAGUGGCGAAGGCGGCCUUCUGGACUGACACUGACGCUGAGGUACGAAAGCGUGGGUAGCAAACAGGAUUAGAUACCCUGGUAGUCCACGCCGUAAACGAUGUCGACUAGCCGUUGGGGUCCUUGAGACCUUUGUGGCGCAGUUAACGCACUAAGUCGACCGCCUGGGGAGUACGGCCGCAAGGUUAAAACUCAAAUGAAUUGACGGGGGCCCGCACAAGCGGUGGAGCAUGUGGUUUAAUUCGAUGCAACGCGAAGAACCUUACCUACCCUUGACAUCGUGCGAACUUGGUAGAGAUACCUUGGUGCCUUCGGGAGCGCACAGACAGGUGCUGCAUGGCUGUCGUCAGCUCGUGU
rnacentral:rRNA from 1 species